CAUGCAUGUAUCAGUACACGCCUUAACAAGGUGAAACCGCGAACGGCUCAUUAUAACAGCUAUAAUUUACUUGACCUUGACCAGUUACUUGGAUAACUGUGGUAAUUCUAGAGCUAAUACAUGCACCGAAGUUGUUCCUCACGGAGCAAUGCAUUUAUUUGAGCAAAACCAGGCGGCUUCGGCCGUUUCUGUUGAAUCAGAAUAACUAAGCUGAUCGCAUGGGCUUGUCCCGGCGACGUGUCUUUCAAGUGUCUGCCUUAUCAACUUUCGAUGGUAGUGUACGUGACUACCAUGGUGUUGACGGGUAACGGAGGAUAAGGGUUCGACUCCGGAGAAGGGGCCUGAGAAAUGGCCACUACGUCUAAGGAUGGCAGCAGGCGCGCAAAUUACCCACUCUCGGUUCGAGGAGGUAGUGACGAAAAAUAACAAGGCCGUUCUCUUUGAGGCCGGCCAUUGGAAUGGGUACAACUUAAACCCUUUAACGAGUAUCAAUGAGAGGGCAAGUCUGGUGCCAGCAGCCGCGGUAAUUCCAGCUCUCAAAAUGCAUAGAACCAUUGCUGCGGUUAAAAAGCUCGUAGUUGGAUCUGUGCCGGCGACGUGGUCCGCCCUAACGGGAGGUACUGCGCUCGUCGGCUUUGGGCCGGUUUUCGGUCGGUCGCCUUAACUGGCGGCCGCUCGUGGCUGGCUGGUUUACUUUGAGCAAAUCAGAGUGCUCAGCACAGGCGUCUCGCCGGAAUGUUCGUGCAUGGAAUAAUAGAAAAGGAUUUCGGUCCUCUUUUAUUGGUUUUGUGGACUGAGAUAAUGGUUAACAGAGACGGACGGGGGCAUUCGUAUUGCUGCGUGAGAGGUGAAAUUCUUGGACCGCAGCAGGACGGACUACAGCGAAAGCAUU
rnacentral:rRNA from 1 species